rnacentral:rRNA from 1 species
CUACAGAGGGUGCGAGCGUUAAUCGGAAUUACUGGGCGUAAAGCGCGCGUAGGCGGUCUAUUAAGUCAGAUGUGAAAUCCCAGGGCUCAACCUUGGAACUGCAUCUGAUACUGGUAGACUAGAGUUUUGGAGAGGGAAGUAGAAUUUCAGGUGUAGCGGUGAAAUGCAUAGAGAUCUGAAGGAAUACCAGUGACGAAGGCGACUUCCUGGCCAAAAACUGACGCUGAGGUGCGAAAGCGUGGGUAGCAAACGGGAUUAGAAACCCUAGUAGUCC